rnacentral:RNase_P_RNA from 1 species
GCGGAUGGCCGGGCGGCCGCGGAUGGCAACGUUCGAGGAAAGUCCGGACUCCACAAGGCAACGGUGCCGGGUAACGCCCGGCCGGGGCAACCCGAGGGAAAGCGCCACAGAGAACAGUCCGCUCCGAUCCUUUCGGAGCAAGGGUGAAACGGUGGGGUAAGAGCCCACCGCGGGGGUGGCAACAUCCCCGGCACGGCAAGCCCCACCGGGAGCAAUGCCAAAUAGGGACCGCGCGGGGCCUCGGCCCCGGGGCCGCCUUGGCCCCAGCAGGUCCGGGUUGGCAGCUCGAGGCGUCCGGUAACGGGCGUCCCAGAGGAAUGGUCGCCGGCGGGCUGGGCCCGUCACAGAAUCCGGCUUACAGGCCAUCCGCGCGU